GACGAACGCUGGCGGCGUGCUUAACACAUGCAAGUCGAGCGUAAGGCCCUUUCGGGGUACGACGAGCGGCGAACGGGUGAGUAACACGUGGGUGACCUGGCCCUUAGCUCUGGGAUAAGCCUGGGAAACUGGGUCGUAAUACCGGAUAUGACUCCAUGACGCAUGUUGUAGGGGUGAAGCCUUGUGCGGCUAGGGAUUGGGACCUGGCGGCCUAUCAGCUUGUUGGUGGGUGAUGGCCCUACCAAGGCGACGACGGUAGCCGGCCUGAGAGGGCGACCGG
rnacentral:rRNA from 1 species